GGCCUGUUGGUCUAGUGGUAUGAUUCCUGCUUUGGGUGCAGGAGGUCCCGGGUUCAAAUCCCGGACAGGCCC
rnacentral:tRNA from 2 species